rnacentral:lncRNA from 1 species
CCCAGGCAGCACCGUGCAGGAACGCGGGUGAAGAGGUGGAUUCACAUGUCGAAGGUCACACAGCAAGAGCACGACCAAGGUGCUCUUGGAAAUGGCCCCCUCCCCAUGGUUGCAAGCACGUCUGACCCCCCCCCACACCUCGCCCACUGGCAGGCCUUAAAAAAAUAUUGACUUUUCAAAAUGCCAGGCCAAAUCCAAGGUUGAAAUCCACAUCUGCCCAACCACCUGGUAUGAUCGAUGCACCGCCCCCUCACCUCUCUGUCCUGAGUCAAUAUUUGCUCUCUAGACACCAGACUUGCCAAAGUAAGUAUCUUGAAGGCCCACCCUGUGACAGACAGUGUGUGCAGGCUACCUACAGCCUCCUCUUCCUCCUCCUCAUUCCAACCCCCCAACUCCCCACCCCCGGUGGUCCAGGCAUCUCCGGUAAGAGUGAGCACCUCCUCUGGCCCAGCUCAUGGCCCUGUGCUGUGGAGGGUCAGAGGGAUGCAACACAGCUGCUGACUGAUGCCACCUGAGCCUGAUAAAUGCUCAAAGGAUCCCAUUUGCUAAAAAGGGAGACUGAGGCCCAGAGAGCUGAGGCUGUGUGUGGUGGCCUGCCUCCCAGAGGCCCCCAGGGUCCCCACUACCCCUCCCACAAUGCAUCAGGGUUGGUCCCCAAGCGCCACAG